rnacentral:rRNA from 1 species
CCUACGGGAGGCAGCAGUAAGGAAUAUUGGUCAAUGGAGGCAACUCUGAACCAGCCGUGCCGCGUGCAGGAAGACUGCCCUAUGGGUUGUAAACUGCUUUUAUCCGGGAAUAAACCUGCUUACGUGUAAGUAGCUGAAUGUACCGGAAGAAUAAGGAUCGGCUAACUCCGUGCCAGCAGCCGCGGUAAUACGGAGGAUCCAAGCGUUAUCCGGAUUUAUUGGGUUUAAAGGGUGCGUAGGCGGCCUGUUAAGUCAGGGGUGAAAGACGGUAGCUCAACUAUCGCAGUGCCCUUGAUACUGAUGGGCUUGAAUGGACUAGAGGUAGGCGGAAUGAGACAAGUAGCGGUGAAAUGCAUAGAUAUGUCUCAGAACACCGAUUGCGAAGGCAGCUUACUAUGGUCUUAUUGACGCUGAGGCACGAAAGCGUGGGGAUCAAACAGGAUUAGAUACCCUGGUAGUCCACGCCCUAAACGAUGAACACUCGCUGUUGGCGAUACACAGUCAGCGGCUAAGCGAAAGCGUUAAGUGUUCCACCUGGGGAGUACGCCGCAAGGGUUGAAACGUUAAAUUGAUUGACGG